rnacentral:misc_RNA from 1 species
UUCUUUUAUGGCCAUGACAACCAUGAUCAACUUGUCAAAAUUGCGAAGGUACUUGGAACUGAUGAGUUAAAUGCAUACCUGAAUAAAUAUCACUUGGAGCUUGAUCCUCAGUUAGAUGCACUUGUUGGGAGGCAUAGCAGGAAGCCCUGGUCCAAAUUUAUUAAUGCAGACAAUCAGCAUCUGGUUUCUCCAGAGGCCAUUGAUUUUCUUGAUAAGCUCCUUCGGUAUGAUCAUAAUGACAGGCUAACUGCAAGAGAAGCAAUGGCACAUCCAUAUUUUUCACAAGUGAGGGCUGCAGAAAGUAGCAGAAUG